UACAAUGUUCUUGUAAUAAACAAAUCAUAAGUUUAGUUUUCUGGGAAUCACUUUGCUAUGUUCUCACCAACAUUUCGCGCUUUGAUUAUUCUUGUUUUGGCAACCGGUGCGUAUUCAUGUGGCAAUAUAGCUCCGUCGAGUUUUGAAGGGGUCGGAAGUAACGCGACGAUUCCGUAUGGAGUGAUGGGAGACUAUCAAUGCGUGGGGAAUUUUGGACCGUGUGAUGACGGCCAUUGCUCCGUGGAUUGCUGUAAAAGGCUUUGCUUGAGUUCAUACAGCGGACUUAAUCCAUGUUUCCUCUGUCAAGGCUUCCCUAUCAAGUUCUGCAUUUGUUAUCAUGACUGCUAUUAGUAUCUUAAUUACCUCCUAACUAUUUAAUGAUAUGAUGAUAAGAAGAAGAUAUCCUAGCUUAUUCGGAUCGAGAUUAAUCGAUCUGAUGAUCGUUGAUGUUGUGAUAGUGUUGUAUAUCGUGUGAUGAACCUAUAAAGUAUUAUCUGUAUUUUA